GACGAACGCUGGCGGCGUGCUUAACACAUGCAAGUCGAGCGGAAAGGCCCUUCGGGGUACUCGAGCGGCGAACGGGUGAGUAACACGUGAGUAAUCUGCCCUUCACUCUGGGAUAGACACCGGAAACGGUGAUUAAUACCGGAUACGACCAAUCCCUGCAUGGGGAGGUGGUGGAAAUUUUUUUGGGUGGGGGAUGUGCUCGCGGCCUAUCAGCUUGUUGGUGGGGUAAUGGCCUACCAAGGCUUCGACGGGUAGCCGGCCUGAGAGGGUGACCGGCCACACUGGGACUGAGACACGGCCCAGACUCCUACGGGAGGCAGCAGUGGGGAAUAUUGGACAAUGGGCGGAAGCCUGAUCCAGCAACGCCGCGUGAGGGAUGACGGCCUUCGGGUUGUAAACCUCUUUCAGCACCGACGAAGCGCAAGUGACGGUAGGUGCAGAAGGAGGACCGGCCAACUACGUGCCAGCCGCCGCGGUAAGAC
rnacentral:rRNA from 1 species